GGCGAACGGGUGAGUAAUGAAUCGGAACGUGCCCGGUAGUGGGGGAUAACCAGUCGAAAGACUGGCUAAUACCGCAUACGACCUACGGGUGAAAGCGGGGGAUCGCAAGGCCUCGCGCUAUCGGAGCGGCCGAUUUCCGAUUAGCUAGUUGGUGGGGUAAAGGCUCACCAAGGCGAUGAUCGGUAGCUGGUCUGAGAGGACGGCCAGCCACACUGGGACUGAGACACGGCCCAGACUCCUACGGGAGGCAGCAGUGGGGAAUUUUGGACAAUGGGCGAAAGCCUGAUCCAGCCAUGCCGCGUGCGGGAAGAAGGCCUUCGGGUUGUAAACCGCUUUUGGCAGGAACGAAACGGCGCGGGCUAAUACCUCGCGUUAAUGACGGUACCUGCAGAAUAAGCACCGGCUAACUACGUGCCAGCCGCCGCGG
rnacentral:rRNA from 1 species